CAGCCCUAAACGAUGCGCGUUAGGUGUAUCGGUGACCACGAGUCACCGAGGUGCCGAAGGGAAACCGUGAAACGUGCCGCCUGGGAAGUACGGUCGCAAGGCUGAAACUUAAAGGAAUUGGCGGGGGAGCACUACAACGGGUGGAGCCUGCGGUUUAAUUGGACUCAACGCCGGGAAGCUCACCGGAUAAGACAGCGGAAUGAUUGCCGGGCUGAAGACCCUGCAUGACCAGCUGAGAGGAGGUGCAUGGCGUAGACGUCU
rnacentral:rRNA from 1 species